rnacentral:sRNA from 2 species
AUGGAUCGCUCCGUACACUCCGGUUCUGAGCGCGUCAUCCACACCUACCUGACAACUGCUCGCUACGUUUGUUACCC